GGCGAACGGGUGAGUAAUACAUCGGAACGUGUCCAGUAGCGGGGGAUAACCUGUCGAGAGAUAGGCUAAUACCGCAUACGACCUACGGGUGAAAGCGGGGGCCGCAAGGCCUCGCACUAUUGGAGCGGCUGAUGCCGGAUUAGCUAGUUGGUAGGGUAAAAGCCUACCAAGGCAACGAUCCGUAGCUGGUCUGAGAGGACGAUCAGCCACACUGGAACUGAGACACGGUCCAGACUCCUACGGGAGGCAGCAGUGGGGAAUUUUGGACAAUGGGGGCAACCCUGAUCCAGCCAUGCCGCGUGAGUGAAGAAGGCCUUCGGGUUGUAAAGCUCUUUCGGCGGGGACGAAACGGUCCGUGCUAAUACCACGGACAAAUGACGGUACCCGCAUAAGAAGCACCGGCUAACUACGUGCCAGCAGCCGCGGUAAUACGUAGGGUGCAGGCGUUAAUCGGAAUUACUGGGCGUAAAGCGUGCGCAGGCGGUUUGUUAAGACAGGUGUGAAAUCCCCGGGCUUAACCUGGGAAUUGCGCUUGUUACUGGCAGACUGGAGUGUGGCAGA
rnacentral:rRNA from 1 species